AGUUCAUCCUUGUGAUUCUGCGGUUUUACAUCUGUUUCCUCCUAAAAUUAGUAGUACAUACGAUGCUUGGUAGACUUCGAAGGAGAAUUGGAAGAUAUAGUUAGCAGGGCACCAGAAGACAAUCGCAUUGAUAAGGAGCUGCUAGCGAGGCUCAACAAUGCAAAGAAUGAAAACAGUUUCGGGAGGAAGCAUAAGGACGAG